rnacentral:rRNA from 1 species
GAUGAACGCUGGCGGCGUGCCUAAUACAUGCAAGUCGAGCGAACAGACGAGGAGCUUGCUCCUCUGACGUUAGCGGCGGACGGGAGAGUAACACGUGUAUAACCUACCUAUAAGACUGGGAUAACUUCGGGAAACCGGAGCUAAUACCGGAUAACAUGUUGAACCGCAUGGUUCAACAGUGAAAGACGGUCUUGCUGUCACUUAUAGAUGGAUCCGCGCCGCAUUAGCUUGUUGGUAAGGUAACGGCUUACCAAGGCUACGAUGCGUAGCCGACCUGAGAGGGUGGUCGGCCACACGGGAAGUGAGACACGGUCCAGACUCCUACGGUAGGCAGCAGUAGGGAAUCUUCCGCAAUGGGCGAGAGCCUGACAGUGCAACGCCGCGUGAGUGAAGAAGGUCUUCGGAUCGGAAAGCUCUGUUAUUAGGGAAGAACAAAUGUGUAAGUAACUAUGCACGUCUUGACGGUACCUAGUCAGAAAGCCACGGCUAACUACGUG